ensembl:lncRNA
AGUUUGGCCCAGAUUUACAACUUAGACUAAGCCUUAACGAAAUUGGAAGCUUUCUAUCGCAAAGUCGAGUGUGAACAGGGGACGCAUAGCCGAUUCCAGUUGCUGCUAUGAGAAUUAUUUUUAUUACAACUUUUAGCAUCUGAUUUAAGUGAUUUGGCGCCUCACAGUUUGAACAAGAAUCCAUUUUUCCUUUUUCAACGUGGAUGGUUGUAGGGAUCGGCCUGGAUCCCACUUUCAUGAGAGAUAUUAACAACCUUGUGUUAAUUCUGGAGGUGGAUGGUGGAAUUGUUAAGCACUUUGGAAAGGGGUUGCGGGUAAGUGAAGAUGACCGUAGAGAAUGGCCGAAGAUGUAUGGGAAAACACUAUUCGAAGGACUAUCCGUUAAAUGGACAGACUGGCACCAGUAAUGUGAGCGGCAUUAAUGAGAAAAGGCCAGGAAGAAAAGAAAAAUGUUCUUUGUACUGAAGGCUGCAUAUAAUAUGCCAUGGUCUCCUCUGAAACUCUGAAUUUACUGCUCGAGACUAGAAUCUAAGUAUCAAGGAAACCAAAGGGUCUACAAAAAGACGUUGUAUGAAAGGAUUUUUUUUUUUUUUGGUUCUUUUUUUCGGAGCUGGGGACCGAACCCAGGGCCUUGCGCUUCCUAGGCAAGCGCUCUACCACUGAGCUAAAUCCCCAGCCCCUGGUUUUGGUUUUCUAAGACCAAGUUUCAACAUAGCUCUAGCUGUCCUAGAACUCGCUCUGUAGACCAGGCUGGCCUUGAACCCAGAAAUCCAGUCUGCCUUCCAAGUGCUGGAAUUAAAGGCGUGUGCCACCAUGCCUGGCCUUUAAGCCUGUACUCUACAGGUGAAGCUAAACUAAAUAUGUGGCCAAGGAGGGGCGGUCACACACACCAAGAUAAUGAUUAGCUUGUCAUCUGGAAGCUUAGUUCAUCAAAAUGACUCAGCUGAUUCUGUUCAUGCUCAUAAAAAUAUGGAGAAAUGCCAGCAGUGGUGGCAAGUGCCUUUAAUCACAACACUCGGGAGGCAGAGGCAGGCCGAUCUCUGAGUUUGAGGCCAGCCUGAUCCACAGAGGGAGUUCCAGGACAGCCAGGGCUACACAGAGAGACCCUGUCUCAAAAAAGGGGUGGGAGGAUGUUCUGAUGUCAAAAUUUUCAAACAUCUCGACAUUAGGAGAUACAAGUCAGAAAGUCCAUUCUCCCUCUAUUCCUUACAUACCACAUCCGGUCCAUACCACUUCCGGUUCCCACAGUACAAUUCUGGAUGAAAAUGUGUGGAGAAGGAGCAUACACAACAGCUUUCUGGACUCCAAUCUUUAAGGUUGUGCAUUACAACAGGGAGGGGAAUACAACUGCUUUUCGAUUUUAAAGGAGCAACUUAAUCAUGGUGAUAAACUGCAUCUUCUAAAAGCUUUGAAAGUGUCUUGGAAAAUAUUAUUCCUAUGGACCCCUUUUAUUAAAAAAAAAUGAGCUUCACACAGCCAAGCAAUUGAAAACAUCACAAAUAACCUUCACUCCAUCAUAAAAGAGAAUGUGGCAAAAAUAAAAGUAUGAAGACAGAGCCAACUUGCACGGCAGUUUGGAGAAGACCUUUAUCCAACCACAACGUUCCUGAAACACACAGGCUAAGAUCCUACCCUCGGCUGGGACUUGGGGAAAGACUGCUCUAAAAGGCAUGACUUCACUUUUUCCCUCCUUGUUUGGUACCCUGAGGCGAGCCUUCUAGAGAGAGGCCAGAUGGAUAGGGAGCUCCGGGCCUAUUAGCACCAUACUGGAAAUACAACCAUCAUUCAGGGCCUUGGCUCCAGACAUGAGAAGAGGAUAAAAAGGUGGUCACCGCAGAUCUUAGAGCAGUCAUUAGCUGAAUGUGACCACAUGAGUGGUUCCAGUUGACCAGAGGUCUAUCAAAGGCAAGCUAAGCCCUGCACAAACUCCCAGUUCAAACUGCAUGAUAAAUGGAAAUCAUCUUUAGGUACUCGGUGUCUGUGUGGACUGAGAAAAUAUGACAAAGGUGACAUCCUACCCGUGCUAGCCCUGGACUUUAAGAUGCCUUACACUUUUGGCUUUUAUUGUGAAGGAGGGCGCCUGUCAACGAGUUUGGGAUACAUGACUGGAUAUUUAACUGAGAGAUAAUCUAAUCAGUUUAUUCUAAUCAGUUUUCGCCCCCACAACACAGCCGCCAGACAAUGGAACGAAGCUAUUCUAACCCAGCUCAUGGCUGAAGACAGUCAUGUGAGCGACCCCAACCAGAAACUCAUAGAAGACAAUUCAGCUCUAAGUCCACAGAACAGAGAGAAGCAAAUGUUUUUUUUUUUUUUACACCACUAAAUUUAUUUACGUAGUAUGAAGUAAUCGUUGAUCUGUUUCCACACAGAGACGUCACCUUUCACUCUGGAGUUCACUUUAACAUCGCUGGCAAGAUAGUCCUUUUGCGGUUGCCUCUCUUUUCAUUUCAGUUUGAAGAUUUAUGUUGGGCUGGCGGGUUUUUUUUCUUUCAGCUCUUUAAACAUUCCCUUUGACUUUUAGUCUUAUUUCUGAUAAGAUUAAACUUUAACUGUUUUUAC